rnacentral:tRNA from 1 species
GUAAUUAUAGUUUAUCAAAAACAUUAGACUGUGAAUCUAAAAACAAAGAGUUAUAUCUUUUAAUUACC